ensembl:lncRNA
CAUGUGCCCAUUUUAUCAGCGUCUUAAAAGUAUUUACCCUGAAACACGCCUUUUGUCAGAAAACUACAUAAGAAAUUAUGCAUUUUAAAUUUUGAUUUACAUUUAGUCCUGAUGACUUGUCUCUUUUUCUCAUUACUUUUUGUAGAUAUAAUGGAUGCCUGGGCUGGAAAGAGUCCUCACGUUCUACUCUCCAAAAUUGGUGCUUACAAAUUAUUCUACUGGGAUAUCCAACAAAUUGGUCCGGACAUGGAGUUGGAAAGUGAGUCUAUUAAUGCAUAUCUUGCGAUCAUGGUGAGACAAUGCAAUCGCCAUAAUUCAGCCAAAGCAGCAUUCAUUGAUUCAUUUUCAAUGACUGCCAUUUGGAAGAGAAAAGCUCCAAGACUCAAGAUCAAACCCAUGGAGCAUGAAGUGAUUCUGGGAAUUGUAAAUGAACAUCAUCACUGGACAUUAGUGGUCAUUUACCCACAAGAAAAGAAGUCGCUGUAUCUUGAUCCACUCGGAGAAACUAAACAAGGUAUCCAAAAUUGUUUGGAAUCAACAAGGGCAUUCAUGCGAAAAAAAGGAUGCAACGUCUCAAGAUGGACUUGUGACACAGUCAAACACCCAAAACAAUUGGACGCUACCUCAUGUGGAGUCUUUGCAUUGAAAUUUGCUGAAAAGAUCUUGCAAA